GCGUUGGUGGUAAAGUGUUUAGCAUACCUGCAUUCCAAGCAGUUGACCCGGGUUCGAUUCCCGACCAAGGCA
rnacentral:tRNA from 1 species